UAAGUUACAAAGAGAUUAUGGUGGAUGCCUUGGGACUGGAUGACGAAGAAGGACGUGCAAAUCUGCGAUAAGUCACGGGGAGCCGAUUAGAGGCGACAAUCCGUGAAUUUCCGAAUGGAGAAAUCCAUAUAGUAGAGAUACUAUAUAUCAUUGAAUGAAUUCAUAGUUCAAUGAGGUGAGACCUGGUGAAGUGAAAAAACUCAGUAGCCAGAGGAAAAGAAAACAAAGUGAUUCCCUCAGUAGCGCGAGCGAAACGGGAACAGGCCAAACCAGAAUUUAUUCUGGGGUUAUAGGGCUGCAAUGUGGACUUAAGAUGUAUAGUAGAAGUAGUUGGAAUGCUACGCUAUAGAGGGUGAUAAGCCCCGUAUACGAAAUGCAUCUUAUACCUAGCAGUACCCUGAGUAGGGCAGGACACGUGAAAUCCUGUUUGAAUUCGCCCCGACCAUGGGGUAAGCCUAAAUACAAACCAGUCACCGAUAGCGAAUAGUACCGUGAGGGAAAGGUGAAAAGAACCCAGAGAUGGGAGUGAAAUAGAAUCUGAAACCAUAAUCUUACAACGAGUUAGAGCACAUUUAUGUGUGAUAGCGUGCGUUUUGAAGUAUGAGCCGGAGAGUUAUUUUUGCAUGCAAGGUUAAGUCAUAGAGAUGGAGCCGUAGGGAAACCGAAUCUUAAUAGGGUGUUUAGUAUGUAGUAAUAGACCCGAAACGGGUUGAUCUAGUCAUGGGCAGGUUGAAAGUAGGGUAAUACCUACUGGAGGACCGAACCCACUUUCGUUGAAAUGCCAGGGGAUGACCUGUGACUAGGGAUGAAAUUUCAAUCGAAAUCCGUGAUAGCUGGUUCUCGUCGAUAUAAAUUUAAGUUUAGCGUUAGAUUAUUGAAUAUGUGGAGGUAGAGCUCUGAAAGACUGAUGGCACCACCUCGGUGUACUGAUUUCUAUUAAACUGCGAAUGCCAUAUGUUCUAUUCUAGCAGUAAGGCAGUGGGGGAUAAGCUUCAUUGCCGUGAGGGAAAGAGCCCAGAUCAUUAGUUAAGGUCCCAAAUAUAUGCUAAGUGGAAAAGGAUGUUGAAUCUCUCAAACACCAAGGAUGUUGGCUUAGAAGCAGCCAUCGUUUAAAGAGUGCGUAACAGCUCACUUGACGAGAGAUUCUGCGCCAAAGAUUCAACGGGGCUAAAGCAUAUAACCGAAGCUAUGGGUUUACAUUUAUGUAAGCGGUAGACGAGCGUUGUAUAUGGGCUGAAGGUAGAGCGAGAGCACUGCUGGACUGUAUACAAGAGAGAAUUCCGGCGUGAGUAACGAAUGAAGGUGAGAAUCCUUCAAGCCGAAUUGACUAAGGUUUCCAGGAGUAGGUUCGUCCUUCCUGGGUUAGUCGGCACCUAAGGCGAGGCCGAGAGGCGUAGUCGAUGGAUAACAGGUUAAUAUUCCUGUACUUAGUGCAUGAAUGAUGGAGUGACGGAGAAGGUUAAUAUAGUGCGGUUAUUGGAUUCCGUUUUAAGUAUCAAGUCUUGCAGGUUGGCAAAUCCGCCUGCUUUAAGGAUAAGAUACGACGAUAUAUUGAAAGCCUCGGCAAGUAAAAAACUAUAUACAUCACGCUUCCAAGAAAAACUUCUAAGUUUAUCAUGCAUCAAGCCGUACCGAGAACGAACACACGUGGUCAAGGAGAAUAUCCUAAGGCUAGCGAGUUAACUAUUGUUAAGGAACUCUGCAAAUUGACCCCGUAAGUUAGCGAUAAGGGGUGCUCAGUUAAUGAGCCACAGAAAAGAGCGAGGGGGGACUGUUUAUCAAAAACACAGCUUUAUGCUAAUUCGUAAGAAUACAUAUAUGAGGCGACACCUGCCCAGUGCUGGAAGGUUAAGGAAGUUGGUUAGCCGCAAGGCGAAGCUGAUGACCGAAGCCCCAGUGAACGGCGGCCGUAACUAUAACGGUCCUAAGGUAGCAAAAUUCCUUGUCGGGUAAAUUCCGUCCCGCUUGAAAGGUGUAACGAUCUCUUGACUGUCUCGACAAUAGACUCGGUGAAAUCCUGGUAGGGGUGAAGACGCCCCUUUGGCGCGAUUGGGCGGAAAGACCCCAUGAAGCUUUACUGUAACUUAAUAUUGAAAAAAUAUAAUGUAUUUAGAGCAUAGGCGGGAGACUACGAAAACUGAUCGCAAGGUCAGCGGAGUCACCACUGUAAUACCGCCAUUAUAUUAUGUUUUUUCUAACCCACUGGCAUUAUCUGCCAGGGAGACAGUGUUAGGCGGGCAGUUUGACUGGGGCGGUCGCCUCCUAAAAAGUAACGGAGGCGCGCAACGGUACCCUCAGCAUGUUUGGAAAUCAUGCAUUGAGCGUAAUGGUAUAAGGGUGCUUGACUGCGAGAGUUACAACUCGAGCAGGUAAGAAAUUAGGUCAUAGUGAUCUGGUAGUUCUGAAUGGAAAGGCUAUCACUUAACGGAUAAAAGUUACUCUGGGGAUAACAGGCUGAUAGUGUCCAAGAGUUCAUAUCGACGACACUGUUUGGCACCUCGAUGUCGACUCAUCUUAUCCUGGGGCUGUAGCAGGUCCCAAGGGUUCGGCUGUUCGCCGACUAAGAAGAUACGUGAGUUGGGUUCAAACCGUCGUGAGACAGGUUGGUCCCUACCUGUCGUGCCCGUAGGAAGAUUGAGAAGAGUUGCUCCUAGUACGAGAGGAUCGGAGUGAAGUUACCUCUAAUGCUCCAGUUGUCAUGCCAAUGGCACAGCUGGGUAGUUACGUAGCGAAAGGAUAAAUGCUGAAAGCAUAUAAGCACGAAGCCUCCUUCAAGAUAAAUCUUCCCUGCCGCAAGGCAAUAAGAGUCGUUGUAGACUACAACGUUGAUAGGAUACAUGUGUAAGUGGAGUGAUCCAUUGAGCUGAGUAUUACUAAUAACUCGAAAGACUUAU
rnacentral:rRNA from 1 species